rnacentral:rRNA from 1 species
GCGGCGUGCCUAAUGCAUGCAAGUCGAACGGGGCGCCUUCGGGCGAGACCGUGGCGGACGGGUGAGGAACACGUGGGGAACCUGCCCAUCGGUGGGGGGUAGCCCGCGGAAACGCGGGGUAAUUCCGCAUACGCUCGCUUUGAGGUAGUCAAGGUGAGGAAAGGAUUUAUUCGCCGAUGGAGGGGCCUGCGUCCGAUUAGCUAGUUGGUGGGGUAACGGCCUACCAAGGCAGUGAUCGGUAGCUGGUCUGAGAGGACGGCCAGCCACAGGGGGACUGAGACACGGCCCCCACUCCUACGGGAGGCAGCAGCAAGGAGUUUUCCGCAAUGGGCGAAAGCCUGACGGAGCAACGCCGCGUGGGGGAUGACACCUUUCGGGGCGUAAACCCCUUUUCUUGGGGACGAAGCAGUGACGGUACCCGAGGAAGAAGGCCCGGCUAACUACGUGCCAGCAGCCGCGGUAAUACGUAGGGGCCGAGCGUUGUCCGGAGUUACUGGGCGUAAAGCGCGCGCAGGCGGCUCGUCAAGCCUGACGUGAAAGCCCCCGGCUCAACCGGGGAGGGUCGUCGGGGACUGGCGGGCUUGAGGUCGGCAGGGGCUGGUGGAAUUCCCGGUGUAGUGGUGAAAUGCGUAGAGAUCGGGAGGAACACCCGUGGCGAAGGCGGCCAGCUGGGCCGGACCUGACGCUGAGGCGCGAAGGCGUGGGGAGCGAACGGGAUUAGAUACCCCGGUAGUCCACGCAGUAAACGAUGCAGACUAGGCGUGGGGGGACUUGACCCCCUCCGUGCCGAAGCCAACGCGUGAAGUCUGCCGCAUGGGGAGCACGGCC